rnacentral:misc_RNA from 1 species
GAUGAAGAACGCAGCGAAAUGCGAUAAGUAAUGUGAAUUGCAGAAUUCAGUGAAUCAUCGAAUCUUUGAACGCACAUUGCGCCCGCCAGCAUUCUGGCGGGCAUGCCUGUUCGAGCGUCAUUUCAACCCUCGACCUCCCUUUGGGGAAGUCGGCGUUGGGGACCGGCAGCACACCGCCGGCCCUGAAAUGGAGUGGCGGCCCGUCCGCGGCGACCUCUGCGUAGUAAACCAACUCGCACCGGAACCCCGACGUGGCCACGCCGUAAAACACCCAGCUUCUGAACGUUGACCUCGAAUCAGGUAGGACUACCCGCUGAACUUAAGCAUAUCAAUAAGCGGAGGA